UGAGAAUCAGGCCAGUAAUUUGAAGUUCAAACUAGCUGUUAAAUAUGAACCAUAUUAAAUCGCUCAAGUGAAGGUAGGAUACAAAAUUCAGUCUGAAAGUGCUAAAAGUUUACAAUUGCAAAUUGCAGUUUGAAGUCGCUUGCUUAAAAGGAAUGGAGAAGAAAUAUAUAUAAAAUGUGUGUGUUUUAUCCUUUUAACACAGAUGACAAAGAGAACAAAAAUACAAAGAGAACAAAGGUAUCGAACCUGGAGUAAAGAGUCAAUAUCAGACAAGAUAGUUAGGAGCAGUGGACACAGCGUCCAGGAGUGAAGCCCAGGACCUUCUACUCUCCGGCUGAUUUAGAGCCUUCGAGGAGGACUACUGGGGAGUCCGGACGAUUGUUGGACUUCGUCACAGGUGGGGAGACCCUCUGAGAUGUCGGGCACCAGGAAAGCAGGACCCUCCACAGAAAAAGAGAAAUGGAAGAGAAAGAAGAAUGUUGAGAGUGAGAAAAGGACCAAAGAAAAGGCCGAAAGGAAAGUAGGAGAUGAAUUAUCCGACAGCGACAGAGAGGAGGAAAAGGGGGGAGUGGGAGGGGACUAGGGUAUCAGGGAGCACCACAAACGCCACCCCCCCAAAA